GACGAACGCUGGCGGCGUGCUUAACACAUGCAAGUCGAACGAUGAAGCCGGAGCUUGCUCUGGUGGAUUAGUGGCGAACGGGUGAGUAACACGUGAGUAACCUGCCCUUGACUCUGGGAUAAGCGUUGGAAACGACGUCUAAUACCGGAUACGAGCUAGGACCGCAUGGUCACUAGCUGGAAAGAACUUCGGUCAAGGAUGGACUCGCGGCCUAUCAGCUAGUUGGUGAGGUAACGGCUCACCAAGGCGUCGACGGGUAGCCGGCCUGAGAGGGUGACCGGCCACACUGGGACUGAGACACGGCCCAGACUCCUACGGGAGGCAGCAGUGGGGAAUAUUGCACAAUGGGCGCAAGCCUGAUGCAGCAACGCCGCGUGAGGGACGACGGCCUUCGGGUUGUAAACCUCUUUCGCCAGGGACGAAGCGCAAGUGACGGUACCUGGAGAAGAAGGACCGGCCAACUACGUGCCAGCAGCCGCCGUAAUAC
rnacentral:rRNA from 1 species